GGGCGCCCGCGAGGAGCAGUCCGCCGUCCCGGCCGCCCGCGAGGACCAGUCCGCCGUCCCGGUCGCCCACGUAAAAGUGACAUUGUUUACACAGUCAAUCUCUCGUAUGGACAUGGCAAUCUCCGUGGACCAGGACAUGUAAGUGCUAGUGUUAGUGAAGUGACAUGUCACAGUGAUCACAUUAGUGCACGCCGACCAGGACGUCCCCAUGGACUCAGACUCAAACGCGGACGUGGACGACCUCGGGGACCUGGUCGGCUCUCUGCACCAGGACAUGCAAGUGAAGAAGAAAAUGUGCCACACCCAGGACGAGGACGUGGACGUCAACGUGGAACUGGAGUUCGACGUGGCGGUGGCGGGGGAGCAGAGGGAACGCCAGUUUCCAUGAGACCAGGGAACCCAGUUCAGGCAGAACCUGUACCAGGCUGUUCUCGUGACGAAGCUGGUGCUCCGCCAAGGUGUGGCCGUGGACGAGUUCACUUGCCAAGACCAUCCGGUGGUUACUCACAUCAGGGAGAGCCUGUACCAGGACGUU